CCCAAGCACCUCAGCAAGCUCUCCUGCAGAGCUGCCUCCCUGCCUUCUCCACAUUGCUGCUGCUUGAAUAGCAGCUCUCACCAGCAGCUUUCCUGCCACCCUUGGAGAGAACUCUUCCAGCUACCAAACAUUUUGUCCAAGUCCAUGCACACUUCUACACAUUUGCUUCAAGUAGAGAGAAUCCUUCUAAGAACACACUGUAUUCUUCAGGAUGCAGACAGCAGCGAGAGCCGGCAGGGAGCGGCACAAAGGGCCUUUGAGGAGCACCUCUUCCCCGGGGAGCCACACCACUGCUGGGCACACCUGACCAGACACAGCCCUACCCUGUGGCUACCGCGGGGCGUGGAUGGCCAGCGACCUUGCCUGCUUCCAGGAGGAAAGGCAGAGCCAUCCCGGCUGCUGCAGGCUGCCGGAGCUGCACACAGCAGCCACAGGUGUGUGUGUGCUGUGGGGUGUCCAUCACUUCAGAGCACCAGGCACCAAAGCACACGUUUGAUCACAAACUGACAAAAGGCAGCUUUUUGACGCCUGACAGCCCUGAAAAUUUAUUCGUGAUGUCACUUAUGAACUGAGCACGGAAGUUCCACCUAUCUGUUUGUGUAAUUUUGUUUCUAUGUAACAAAUUUAGCAUUAAAAACAUUUUUAAAAGCC